CGGCCGUGCCCUACGAAGGGCCUGGGCCGGGCGCGCUGGGAAGCGGCGGGGCUGGAGCAGGCGGAGGGUGAGUGACGGCGGGGCGACGCUCAGCGCCGUCUUCAGUGGGAAGCGAAUCAGCCGUAGGUGGGAAAUUAGGGUCACAUCUCCGAUCUCCCGAGGUGAGCCAGAGCGCGGGGCUGGCGGCAGCACUUUGGGAGACUGAGGAAAAGCCUCCUGCGGUGGGAGGGAGGGCGAUACGCACUUAAGUCACAUCGCGGGGCUGUCACGAGGCCGCGGCAGGUCCCCGCGGUGAAGGCAUCAUCCGAGCUGUCGCUGUGUCGGGCCGAUGCCUCCGCGCAGCCUGACAGCCGUGUUGACGCUGCGCUUCAGCCUUAUUGUAGAGCAAAGCCUUUCGACGCGGGAUUUGGUCCCUAGCGCCGGUUUGCUGGUAUUGCUGACAUCCCAGCAAAACAUGUGCAGGAUGCUCACAGCACUGCGUUAUGGCAAGGGUUCAGCCGGCUCGAUGCUUGAAGCUGCUAGAUGCUGCCUCAGCGUUCCGUUAGGACUGUGAGAAGUCAGGUCACUCUGCUGAUGCAGGGAGCUGAAAUACAGCAUCGAACUUAAAACGUGGAUUCUAUCGUAUACAUGGGAUUGCUCAAGCCAAGGUACGGUGGAGGGGGGACGUGGCCGAGGUCUUCUGAGACACAUGGAAGAACCCUCAGGUGAAUUGUGCUGUGGAAGUGCAGCACAACCACAGGAGCACCAGCCGAACGCUUGUGAGUCCCUGCUGAUUUGUUUGCAAUAAACGUGACUGCUCUGAAGGUGUCUGGCACCAUCACGUUAUCUUCCUCAAUGCCAUAACUGAUGAGGUCCUCAUUUUUAAGGCAGAACGAUGCAACUUUCGAUAUAUUCAACGCCAGCCCCCUGCCCCCAGGCUGUCUUUGCAGUCAACAGGCAUGUAAAAUAUUCAGAGUAAAAAAAGAAAUCAUCAUGUGUGACUAGAAAGUGCUGAAGCACAGCGUGCGGCACUGCCGGCUCAUGCAACAGCUCCGUGUGCACAGCCACGCUCACAGGGCUCAGCCUCCCCCUGUUCCUGGAUUCUGAUGAGAACCCAAAGAGAAGGAGGCAAACAGAUCACGCUCCAUGCACCUACACACAAGAAGAAAAUGCUACUCAGCUUGCAUGGAAACACUACAGAGCGCUUCUCUGCAUGUUUUUCAGGCAGUAAAUCUGUGAGCAACUUUUUGAAGCCUGGACGGAACUCAAUCAUGUGAAAAUCAGGUACUUUUCUAUUAAAGUAGCCAGCAAUGUAAGUAUGCCAUAUACCCCCACAUUUCUUGCAAGUGCUUUCCCUAGGGACACUAUUUGACAUUUUUUUGUAUAUAUUUCACUGAUAUAUGCAAUGAAGAGCUGGACCACUUCAGUUUUCUUAAUCAAGCAAUCAAGCUGUGGUCAAUAAAAUACAUUCCUGAAGAGCAACAAUUAGCACAUAGUUUAAGAAGGCUAAUGGGGACCCAUCCGUAGCAGCCAGGGACUAGCAACCUAGUCAGCAACUGAAGAAUGCCCACUGGGAGGCCAGCAGUGACAGCAGCCAGGUGAGCCUAAGGAGCAGGUGGAAUCAGCACAAUGAGUCUUCCUGAAAUGCUAGUUUUAGCGUUUGUGAAUGAAACUUACCAGGUCUCCUAGUACAAAGUAGUGCUCGUGUAAAGCCUAUCUUUUUACACUGUUUCCAGCAGAGAGCUGUGAGUAUUGAACUAGCCAUGCAUACAUCUUAGUGCAGUCUCAACUUCUGUGGAGUCAUUUUUGCUCUCCCGGAUGAGGAUUGGCCUUCUGCACAUCAGCCUGGAAGUACUCUCUCAUUUCAAGGGCUGCUGCCUCUGACAGCCCCGUCUGGCCUAGGACCACGCUCCAAAAUAAUGAUGCUGUACUAACAGACAGGUUUCUCUGCUUUGCCUUAAACUGCUGACCCAUUCCCACCGUGCCCACUAAGCCAUAUCCGUUAGUACCACAUCUAAAUGUUUUUUGAACACCUCCAGGGACACUACCACUUCCCUGGGCAGCCCAUGCCAAUGCCUCACCACUCUUUCUGAGAAGAAAUGUUUCCUAAUAUCCAACCUGAACCUCCCGUUACAGUUUCAUCUGAGGAAGCUCUCUGGUAUCCCAGAUAUCUAUACAGACACUGUGCUUAGCCACCUGAUCCACAAAACUGAGGACUGCUUAACACCUGUGAAAUUUCACAGCAUGACAGCAGAGCUGAGGCUGGAAGGCACAUCUGGAGCUCCACUGGUCCAGCCCCCUGUUCAGAGCAUGGGCAGUGAGAGCACAUUGCCCAGGGCUGUGUCCACAUGGGCUUGGGGUUUCAUCAAGGUUGGAGACUCCACAGCCUUACGGGGCAACCUGUUCCAAUGUUCAGCCACCCGCAUGGGGAAAAAUGCUUUUCGGAAGGAAAAAAACAAGAACCAUCAAGAUCAUCAGUGAUACCAUUUAAUGCUCUUCUGGAAUGCGUUCAGAUAACACACCACGAAGGCAGAACACAGUGUGGCCAGGAGCAUGACUGGGCCACAAAUAAUUCGGUACAAUGAUCUUGCAGUGAUAUUAACAUUCUAGUUAGUCACUGCUAUUAGGGUAAACAUACUAAAAAAUGAACCACAUGAAGAAUUUCAUAACCUCAAAAUUCCAGAGACCAUGAGACACUUCGGUGUUCAUACUGCCCAUUAUGCUCUGAAUGUACAGAGAGUGUAGAAUAUGGGCUAGAUAGAAAAGGACAAAGAUACCAGCAAACAAUAUUCAGAAUCAACUCUUUAAUAAUUUAACUGUAUACUUCAGAGAGCAAAACGAUGUAAGCAACAUGGGAAUUCCCACCAACUGUGCUUUGUUUAGUUUAUUUCACUAAGCAUUUGUUUUUUUUGGUGUCAAAGCAUAUAAAAACAUUAAAAGAAUCAGUUGUCUACAACUUUUAGGAUAGCAUCCAUGACAGUGGGCAGGAACCUCCCAGUACCUCAUCUUUCUUAUCAACUAUAUUGUAAUUCGGCUGAAGCAGUUGUGUAUCUGCCACAUUCCAGGUCACCUAUAGACAAGACCUACUGCGUCAACUGAUUGAGCAGCCAGGAAGAAAAGCCCUUUCCAUUAUGAAUGUUAUGACACAAGAGUUAGAUGGUUUAUUUGCUCAUUUAUCAGAAAUAGAAUCAAAUAUAAGAGCAUAAAGAAAUGAAGAGAUGCAUUCACAGUGCUAUAAAAACUUACUGAAAUACAUAAAUCUGGCUGUAGAAGGGGCAUUAUUUCUCUGUUAGCUACCCAUGUGUAUAUGGGAAUGGAGACUACUGGAAACAAGCAGAGUUGAAUAAAUGAUUUUUUC
ensembl:lncRNA